CUGUGAUUUCACUUUUUAUGGUUUUGAUACUUUUGUGUGACGCAUUUGGCUGUAUUUGUGGACUGUCGUUGAUUUAUUUUAGAUAGUCGUUGUUAUUCUGUUGUUUACGUGUUGAAAUGUAUUAUUAUAUUAUUAAUUUAUGUAUUUCUCUGUCCUGGGUGUUCUUGCAUCUAUUUAUACUGUAUUCCUGUCACGUAAUGUUGUCAUUCUGGCAGUAUUUUUAUCGGUCUUAUAAGCGGGAGGUUUGACCAGCCAUAAAACCAGUUUUAACCCACCAUUAUUUCUUAAAAUGUCCUGUACCAAGUCAGGAAUAUAGCAGUUGUCAUCAAAUAGUCCAUCCUUAUUAUUUUUGGUUUUGUAGCAGUUUAUUGUUUCUGUUGUUUUUUUUUU
rnacentral:lncRNA from 1 species